rnacentral:rRNA from 1 species
UGGUAGAGGUAACUGGAAUUUCUAGUGUAGGAGUGAAAUCCGUAGAUAUUAGAAGGAACACCGAUGGCGUAGGCAGGUUACUGGGCCAUUUCUGACGCUAAGGCACGAAAGCGUGGGGAGCGAACCGGAUUAGAUACCCGGGUAGUCCACGCCGUAAACGAUGGAUACUAGCUGUUGGAGGUAUCGACCCCUUCAGUAGCGAAGCUAACGCGUUAAGUAUCCCGCCUGUGGAGUACGGCCGCAAGGCUAAAACAUAAAGGAAUUGACGGGGACCCGCACAAGCGGUGGAUUAUGUUCUUUAAUUCGAUGAUAACCGAAGAACCUUACCAGGGCUUGACAUCCAGGGAAAGUCUGCGAAAGUAGACUGUGCCUUUUGGAACCCUGUGACAGGUGAUGCAUGGCCGUCGUCAGCUCGUGUCGUGAGAUGUUAGGUUAAGUCCUUCAACGAGCGCAACCCUUGUGAAUAGUUGUAUUUUUCUAUUCAGACUGCCCCGGUAACGGGGAGGAAGGAGGGGAUGAUGUCAGGUCAGUAUUUCCCUUACGUCCUGGGGUAGAAACGUAAUAC